GACGAACGCUGGCGGCGUGCCUAAUACAUGCAAGUCGAACGCAGUGGGGACGGGUGAGUAACACGUGGGUAACCUCCCAUCAGAGGGGAUAACACUUGGAAACAGGUGCUAAACCGAUACUGAUGGAUGAACCCGCGGUGCAUUCGCUAGUUGGGGAGGUAACGGCGCACCAAGGCCAUGAUGCAUAGCCGACCUGAGAGUGGGACCGGCCAGACUGGAACGGAGACAGGGCCCAUACUCCUACGGGAGGCAGCAGGAGGGAAUCGUAGGCAAUGGACGAAAGUCUGACGGAGCAACGCCGCGUGAGUGAAGAAGGUUUUCGGAUCGUAAAACUCUGUUGUUAGAGAAGCGGUAUCUAACCAGAAAGCCACGGCUAACUACGUGCCAGCAGCCGCGGUAAUUC
rnacentral:rRNA from 1 species